GUUUAUGUAGCUUAAUAAAAAAGCAAGGCACUGAAAAUGCCUAGAUGGAUUCUUUAGAACCCCAUAUACA
rnacentral:tRNA from 1 species